UAGGUCCUCCUGCAGGAAUGCUGGUGUC
rnacentral:piRNA from 1 species